rnacentral:rRNA from 1 species
CCUACGGGAGGCAGCCGUGAGGAAUAUUGGUCAAUGGACGAGCGUCUGAACCAGCCAAGUAGCGUGAAGGAUGACUGCCCUAUGGGUUGUAAACUUCUUUUAUAUGGGAAUAAAAUGUUCCACGUGUGGGCUUUUGUAUGUACCAUAUGAAUAAGGCUCGGCUAACUCCGUGCCAGCAGCCGCGGUAAUACGGAGGAUCCGAGCGUUAUCCGGAUUUAUUGGGUUUAAAGGGAGCGUAGGUGGAUUGUUAAGUCAGUUGUGAAAGUUUGCGGCUCAACCGUAAAAUUGCAGUUGAAACUGGCAGUCUUGAGUACAGUAGAGGUGGGCGGAAUUCGUGGUGUAGCGGUGAAAUGCUUAGAUAUCACGAAGAACUCCGAUUGCGAAGGCAGCUCACUGGACUGCAACUGACACUGAGGCUCGAAAGUGUGGGUAUCAAACAGGAUUAGAUACCCUGGUAGUC